rnacentral:rRNA from 1 species
UUCGUGUGAACAGUGGUUGAUCACGAGUUAGUCGGUCCUAAGUUCAAGGCGAAAGCCGAAAAUUUUCAAGUAAAGAAAAAUCAAAAAUAUAUUUAUUUAUGAAAUCGAUUUUUAUACACUUGAAUAAUUUUGAACGAAAGGGAAUACGGUUCCAAUUCCGUAACCUGUUGAGUAUCCGUUUGUUAUUAAAUAUGGGCCUCGUGCUCAUCCUGGCAACAGGAACGACCAUAAAGAAGCCGUCGAGAGGUAUCGGAAGAGUUUUCUUUUCUGUUUUAUAGCCGUACUACCAUGGAAGUCUUUCGCAGAGAGAUAUGGUAGAUGGGCUAGAAGAGCAUGACAUAUACUGUUGUGUCGAUAUUUUCUCCUCGGACCUUGAAAAUUUAUGGUGGGGAUACGCAAACUUCUCAACAGGCCGUACCAAUAUCCGCAGCUGGUCUCCAAGGUGAAGAGUCUCUAGUCGAUAGAAUA